CUCUUUUGUUUUUGUUUUUCCUCCUCGUCUUGCUAUAGAGUUCCUCUACUAGUAAAUAUUGCAAUAGCCAGGCCUCAUGAACUGGGGGGGCUGUCCCACUUGCAGGGGGCUCACGUCACUUCAGUAGGGGGCAAAUCGGCUGUAGCCACCUCGGUAUAAACUCGCCACAGCGCCAACUCCGUAGCUAGCGGCAGGGGCAAGGGCAUGGUAAGGAUCUGCUGUGUACACCCUGCCAUAACCAUCGCUGUAAGCUGCUGCAGCGGCUGCAGCGGCCGUGGCUGCUGUUGCAGUAGCAGGCUGUGCAUAUCUGUAGGCUGCGUAUCCACCAUAGAGGUCAGCACCGUAAAA
rnacentral:lncRNA from 1 species